UACGGGGGGGGCAAGCGUUGUUCGGAAUUACUGGGCGUAAAGGGCUCGUAGGCGGCCAACUAAGUCGGACGUGAAAUCCCUCGGCUUAACCGGGGAACUGCGUCCGAUACUGGAUGGCUUGAGUUCGGGAGAGGGAUGCGGAAUUCCAGGUGUAGCGGUGAAAUGCGUAGAUAUCUGGAGGAACACCGGUGGCGAAGGCGGCAUCCUGGACCGACACUGACGCUGAGGAGCGAAAGCCAGGGGAGCAAACGGA
rnacentral:rRNA from 1 species